rnacentral:rRNA from 1 species
UACGUAGGGUGCGAGCGUUGUCCGGAAUUAUUGGGCGUAAAGAGCUUGUAGGCGGUUUGUCGCGUCUGCUGUGAAAAUCCGGGGCUCAACCCCGGACUUGCAGUGGGUACGGGCAGACUAGAGUGUGGUAGGGGAGACUGGAAUUCCUGGUGUAGCGGUGAAAUGCGCAGAUAUCAGGAGGAACACCGAUGGCGAAGGCAGGUCUCUGGGCCAGCUACUGACGCUGAGAAGCGAAAGCAUGGGGAGCGAACAGG